AACGAACGCUGGCGGCAUGCCUAACACAUGCAAGUCGAACGAACCCUUCGGGGUUAGUGGCGCACGGGUGCGUAACGCGUGGGAAUCUGCCCUUUGCUUCGGAAUAACAGUUAGAAAUGACUGCUAAUACCGGAUGACGUCUUCGGACCAAAGAUUUAUCGGCAAGGGAUGAGCCCGCGUAGGAUUAGGUAGUUGGUGGGGUAAAGGCCUACCAGGCCGACGAUCCUUAGCUGGUCUGAGAGGAUGAUCAGCCACACUGGGACUGAGACACGGCCCAGACUCCUACGGGAGGCAGCAGUGGGGAAUAUUGGACAAUGGGCGCAAGCCUGAUCCAGCAAUGCCGCGUGAGUGAUGAAGGCCUUCGGGUCGUAAAGCUCUUUUACCAGGGAUGAUAAUGACAGUACCUGGAGAAUAAGCUCCGGCUAACUCCGUGCCAGCCGCCGCCGUAAAAC
rnacentral:rRNA from 1 species